rnacentral:rRNA from 1 species
UACGGGGGGGGCAAGCGUUGUUCGGAAUUACUGGGCGUAAAGGGCGCGUAGGCGGCCUGCUAAGUCGGAUGUGAAAUCCCCAGGCUCAACCUGGGAACUGCAUCCGAUACUGGAUGGCUUGAAUCCGGGAGAGGGAUGCAGAAUUCCAGGUGUAGCGGUGAAAUGCGUAGAUAUCUGGAGGAAUACCGGUGGCGAAGGCGGCAUCCUGGACCGGCAUUGACGCUGAGGAGCGAAAGCCAGGGGAGCAAACGGG